CGGCCAUGUUGCUUGAUGAGCUAGCUGAGAAAUGCCUAGGAUACUGUGGUGCAGCUAUAAAAUCCUUCUGUUCUGAAGCUGCGCAGUGGAUUUUUAAGCGGCUUUUUGAAAAUUCAGUAGGGAAUAUUUUACAAGCCGUGCAGAAGAUAUUUCCGCAUGCAGAUGUUGCGCUAAAGAAGGCCCAACAGCAAGGUUUUCCAGCAAUGAAUUGCCGAGUAUUGUCAAAUAUCCAGCGUCCACUGGAGAGACAUCUAAAAGAAAGAAAUAUACGGCAGGUUGAGGAGGACAAAGCUAAACGUAAAAACUAA